rnacentral:sRNA from 1 species
UGUAUGUAGGCUGGGAGUGUCUGCUGAUCACUUGGAGUGCUGUCCCUUGGAACAGGAGGAGUAAGAUUGAGCACCCCUGCAGUGGACCAUGAGUCGGUAAUGCCCACUGAGGACCUCUGGGAGCCAUGUCAGACGAAUCUGCCUCAGGGAGCGAUCCAGACCUGGACCCGGACGUGGAGCUGGAGGAUGCGGAAGAGGAGGAGGAGGAGGAGGAGGUGGCAGUGGAGGAGUGUGACAGGGAUGAUGAAGAAGACCUGCUGGAUGACCCAUCCCUGGAAGGCAUGUGUGGCACUGAGCAUGCCCAGUUGGGAGAAGAUGGGCAGCAGCCGCCGCGGUGCGCUUCAACUACCUCAUCUCAGUCUGAGCCUUCAGAGCAGCUUAGGCGCCACCAAGGCAAGAACCUAGCCUCCGAGGACCCCAAAAAGAAGAGAGCUCAGAAGCCCUCCCACAUGAGAAGAAACAUACGAAAGCUACUCCGGGAGGAUCAAUUGGAGCCUGUUACCAAAGCAGCACAGCAAGAAGAGUUGGAAAGAAGGAAGCGCCUGGAGCAGCAGAGGAAAGAUUAUGCAGCCCCUAUUCCUACUGUUCCGCUGGAGUUCCUCCCUGAGGAAAUUGCUUUAAGGGCAAGUGACGGUCCCCAACUGCCUCCUCGGGUCUUGGCCCAGGAAGUCAUUUGUUUGGACAGUAGCAGUGGCAGUGAGGAUGAAAAAAGCAGUCGAGAUGAGGUGAUUGAACUGAGCUCUGGAGAGGAGGACACUCUGCACAUUGUGGACAGCAGUGAAUCUGUCAGUGAAGAUGAUGAGGAAGAAGAGAAGGGUGGCACCCAUGUCAAUGAUGUCUUAAACCAGCGUGACGCCCUUGGGCGGGUCCUUGUCAACCUAAACCACCCUCCAGAGGAGGAAAAUGUCUUCCUUGCCCCACAGUUGGCACGGGCUGUGAAACCUCAUCAGAUUGGCGGGAUCCGGUUCCUUUACGAUAACCUAGUGGAGUCUCUGGAGAGGUUUAAGACCAGCAGUGGCUUUGGCUGUAUUCUGGCCCACAGCAUGGGUCUGGGGAAAACUUUGCAAGUGAUCUCUUUCAUCGACGUCCUCUUCCGCCACACGCCAGCCAAAACAGUCCUUGCCAUUGUGCCGGUUAAUACUCUUCAGAAUUGGCUGGCAGAGUUCAACAUGUGGCUUCCACCUCCUGAAGCCCUCCCAGCUGACAACAAGCCUGAAGAAGUCCAGCCUCGGUUCUUUAAAGUUCACAUCUUGAAUGAUGAGCACAAGACGAUGGCAUCUCGUGCUAAAGUGAUGGCUGAUUGGGUGUCAGAGGGUGGCGUGCUGCUGAUGGGGUACGAGAUGUACAGACUCCUCACUCUGAAGAAAUCAUUUGCCACAGGUAGACCGAAGAAAACCAAGAAGCGUUCUCACCCAGUCAUCAUUGAUCUAGAUGAGGAAGAUCGGCAGCAGGAGUUUCGGAGAGGGUGCACCCCUACUUCUCAUAUUAUUGACUAAGAGCAGGCCCUGUCACCCUCUGACUCCGGAUCCUCUUCCCUCCCUAGAGUUUGAGAAGGCUUUAUGCCGCCCUGGCCCUGAUGUAGUAAUCUGUGAUGAGGGACACCGCAUCAAAAACUGCCAGGCCAGCACCUCACAGGCUCUGAAGAAUAUCCGCUCUCGCCGCCGGGUGGUGCUGACUGGGUACCCUCUGCAAAACAACCUCAUUGAGUACUGGUGCAUGGUGGACUUUGUGCGCCCAGACUUCCUUGGCACCCGGCAGGAGUUCAGCAACAUGUUUGAACGUCCUAUCCUGAAUGGGCAAUGUAUUGACAGCACACCUCAGGACGUCCGCCUCAUGCGGUACCGGAGCCAUGUCCUGCACAGUCUUCUGGAGGGCUUUGUGCAGAGGAGAGGCCACACUGUGCUGAAGAUUCAUCUCCCUGCCAAGGAAGAAAAUGUGAUCCUUGUGCGGCUCUCCAAGAUCCAGCGAGAUUUGUACACACAGUUCAUGGAUCGCUUCCGGGACUGUGGUAGCAGCGGUUGGCUGGGGCUGAACCCCCUUAAGGCAUUCUGUGUGUGUUGCAAGAUCUGGAAUCACCCUGAUGUGCUGUAUGAAGCCCUUCAGAAGGAGAGCUUGGCCAAUGAGCAGGACCUAGACGUGGAAGAACUUGGCUCUGCAGGGACCAGUGCCCGCUGUCCACCACAGGGAACAAAAGGCAAGGGAGAGGAUAGCACCUUGGCUUCCUCGAUGGGAGAGGCAACCAAUAGCAAGUUCCUACAGGGCGUUGGCUUCAACCCUUUCCAGGAGCGAGGCAACAACAUUGUCACAUAUGAAUGGGCCAAGGAUCUUCUGACUAAUUACCAGACUGGAGUCCUAGAAAACUCUCCCAAGAUGGUACUGCUUUUCCACCUGAUUGAGGAAAGUGUGAAGCUUGGGGACAAGAUCCUUGUGUUUAGCCAGAGUCUUUCCACCUUGGCUCUCAUCGAGGAAUUCCUUGGAAAACGAGAAGUACCCUGUCCACCUGGUGCCGAGGGGCAAGGAGCACAGAAGUGGGUUAGAAACAUCAGCUACUUCCGGCUAGAUGGUAGCACCCCUGCCUUUGAGAGGGAGCGGCUUAUUAAUCAGUUCAAUGAUCCCAGCAACCUCACCACCUGGCUGUUCCUUCUCUCUACAAGGGCCGGAUGCUUGGGUGUGAAUCUGAUUGGUGCCAACCGAGUGGUGGUGUUUGAUGCUUCCUGGAACCCUUGCCAUGAUGCCCAGGCAGUAUGUCGGGUAUACCGUUAUGGCCAGAAAAAGCCCUGUUACAUCUAUCGCCUUGUGGCUGAUUACACUCUAGAAAAGAAGAUCUAUGACCGUCAGAUUUCCAAGCAGGGCAUGUCAGAUCGGGUGGUGGAUGAUCUAAAUCCAAUGCUGAACUUCACACGGAAAGAGGUGGAAAACCUACUGCACUUUGUUGAGAAGGAGCCAGCUCCCCAAGUUUCCUUGAACGUAAAGGGGAUCAAGGAGUCAGUCCUGCAACUGGCCUGUCUGAAGUACCCUCACCUCAUCACCAAGGAGCCUUUCGAGCAUGAGUCAUUGCUCUUGAACCGAAAGGAUCACAAGCUAACCAAGGCUGAGAAAAAAGCAGCAAAGAAAAGCUAUGAAGAAGACAAACGCACAUCAGUCCCCUAUACCCGCCCAUCGUAUGCGCAGUAUUACCCUGCCAGCGAUCAGAGCCUGACCAGCAUCCCCGCCUUCAGCCAGAGAAACUGGCAGCCAACUUUGAAGGGUGAUGAAAAGCCUGUGGCCAGUGUUCGUCCUGUGCAGUCCACCCCCAUCCCCAUGAUGCCCCGGCAUGUCCCACUGGGAGGAAGUGUAAGCUCUGCCUCCAGCACAAAUCCAUCCAUGAACUUUCCGAUCAACUACUUGCAGCGUGCAGGAGUCCUUGUGCAGAAGGUGGUCACCACGACAGAUAUUGUUAUUCCUGGACUCAACAGCUCCACAGAUGUACAGGCAAGAAUUAAUGCUGGUGAGAGCAUCCACAUCAUCCGUGGGACAAAAGGGACGUACAUCCGUACCAGUGAUGGACGGAUCUUUGCUGUCCGGGCAACUGGCAAACCAAAGGUUCCUGAAGAUGGUCGGAUGGCUGCCUCAGGUUCCCAGGGACCUUCUUGCGAGUCCACAAGCAACGGCAGACACAGUGCCUCAUCACCCAAAGCCCCCGACCCUGAGGGGCUGGCCAGGCCCGUCUCUCCUGACAGCCCAGAGAUCAUCAGUGAGCUUCAGCAGUAUGCAGAUGUGGCUGCUGCCCGGGAAUCCCGUCAGAGCUCCCCAAGCACCAAUGCCGCCCUGCCUGGCCCCCCGGCCCAACUUAUGGACAGCAGUGCUGUUCCCGGGACAGCUCUCGGAACUGAGCCUCGACUAGGGGGUCAUUGCCUCAAUAGUUCCCUCUUGGUGACUGGCCAGCCCUGUGGUGACAGGCACCCAGUGCUGGACUUAAGGGGCCACAAGCGAAAGUUGGCCACACCACCUGCUGCCCAGGAGUCAUCCCGCCGGCGGUCCAGGAAGGGUCAUCUGCCAGCCCCCGUGCAGCCGUAUGAACACGGGUAUCCAGUCUCUGGCGGGUUUGCCAUGCCACCCGUCUCCUUAAACCAUAACCUCACCACCCCCUUCACCUCCCAGGCUGGGGAGAACUCCCUGUUUAUGGGCAGUACCCCCUCCUACUACCAGCUGUCCAAUUUGCUGGCAGAUGCCCGCCUGGUGUUUCCAGUGACUACUGACCCUCUGGUGCCAGCAGGCCCCGUCAGUUCCUCUUCCACGGCUACCUCAGUCACUGCCAGCAACCCCUCCUUCAUGCUCAACCCUUCUGUGCCAGGGAUACUACCCAGCUAUUCACUCCCAUUCUCACAGCCACUCCUGUCCGAGCCGAGGAUGUUUGCGCCUUUUCCUUCCCCUGUCUUGCCCAGCAACCUUUCGCGGGGCAUGUCUAUCUAUCCAGGCUACAUGUCCCCACAUGCAGGCUACCCAGCUGGUGGCCUCCUACGGUCCCAGGUGCCUCCAUUUGACUCUCAUGAGGUUGCCGAGGUUGGGUUCAGCUCCAAUGAUGAUGAGGAUAAAGACGAUGAUGUGAUAGAGGUCACUGGGAAAUAGCUAGGGAGCCCCUCCCCACCUCACUUGGGGCCCCCAGCAGGUUGCCCACCAAGCUGGAAGGCAGUGAUUUAGACCUUUUGAGAAUAGGACACUUGGCAGGAGGGAAAAGGAAGAGGACAAAGGAGGGUGGUUGGCCAAAGUGGCAGAGCUCUGUUGCUGUUUAACAAAAGAGGC